rfam:Angiostrongylus costaricensis strain Costa Rica genome assembly, scaffold: ACOC_scaffold0000248
GGGGGAAUAGGUCAGGUCUAGAGCGCUCGCUUUGCAUGCGUGAAGUCAGGGGUUCGAUUCCCCAUACCUCCA